GACGAACGCUGGCGGCGUGCCUAAUACAUGCAAGUCGAGCGGAACUGGGGGAGCUUGCUCCUUCCAGUUUAGCGGCGGACGGGUGAGUAAUACGUGGGCAACCUGCCCUGCAGAUCGGGAUAACUCCGGGAAACCGGUGCUAAUACCGAAUAGUUUGGCGCCUCUCCUGAGGCGCCACGGAAAGACGGUUUCGGCUGUCACUGCAGGAUGGGCCCGCGGCGCAUUCACUAGUUGGUGGGGUAACGGCCCACAAAGGCGACGAUGCGUAGCCGGACUGAGGGGGUGACCGGCCACACGGGGACUGCAACACGGCCCCGACGCCUACGGGAGGCAGCAGUAGGGAAUCUUCCGCAAUGGACGCAAGUCUGACGGAGCAGCGCCGCGUGAGUGACGAAGGUUUUCGGAUCGUAAAACUCUGUUGUGAGGGAAGAACACGUACCAACUAACUAUUGGUACCUUGACGGUACCUCACCAGAAAGCCACGGCUAACUACGUGCCAGCCGCCGCCGUAA
rnacentral:rRNA from 1 species